AACAGUCCUACAGGAUUGUUCUAAUGAACCCUCUACAGGUAUAUACUGUGUCACCCUGGAACAAAGGAGGGACUGUACCAGUGCCUUCCAACAAGCCUGCCUGGACCACACCCGAAGUUGGGGUUAUGACUUCUUGUAAGGAGGAGGAAAGCAUAAAUGGGGAGCAGUGAGGUAUCUAGUAGAAGUGUUAGACUUUGUUAUGGGAUUUGGGUGUAUGUGAUUGUGGGAAGGGUUCAUGAAAGCAAGGCCUCCCACUGUACUGGAUGCUGUCAGGAAGUAGGGGUAAUUCUAUGAUUGGGUGUCUUAAUUCUUAGUAAGAAGGUGUGAAUGUAAGUGGAGAUUAAAGCUGUAAUUGAUAAAGACAUUUUUUUGGUUUAGACAAUGUUUGUGUCCUGUGUUUCGACAAGACUGUGGAGUGGUCUGGUUUUUGUCUUGACCAUGAUCAUAGAAUGGCCUUGUCUGAUGCUAUUCUGUGAAAUUGUUAUUAUUCCACAGAACAUGGUCCAGAUGAGCUCAUAGCAACAUCAAGACACAGAAUAAUGAAGCCAUCAUCUGAAUGUUAUCACUGGCAUUUAGGCGGAGAAAACAGAAUAUGCAGGUGAAAUCGGAUAUAUAUGAAAGGUCCUGGAACAGCACUACAAGCUUCAACGUUGAGUCAGCAGCCACAUGACAAACUGACAUCCUUGGCCUGUCCCAGGUGGCCCAAGAUAAGACAGGAUGGAAGUCAACUCCUGACAAUCAAGAGUUCUUUCUCUGGAAGGGUGGCUGGAGAACGGAGAAAUGGCUGUUCUGAAGGGACGGAGGAGGCAGCGUGACCUGUGGGCCGUGUGGCCCAGCCUCUUUAAAACCAGGCUCGCACAACAGCGGAGACGCGAAGAACAUACAACCCUCUAGUUCCGAAUGCACUGCGGGGCUCUGGUCUCAGCUCCACUGUGUAAAGAACUUACAAGUCAGCACUCUCACCUCAGAGCAAAAAGAGCUGAACAAGCUGAAAAUCAAUAUGUUCUCCUGAACCCAUCAGAGACUGAGGUCCCAGGGCAGACCUGCUUCCCAUGAUCUCAGCCAAUAUGUCCUUACCUGUUCAGAAGAUGCUAGAGCCACAUGCUGGAGUCCUAUAUGUACCUACGAAAAAAAUCACAUUGAGCCGAAUACGUGACCUACCUAACAGGCACAGGAAACUCUCAAAGAUGUGGAAGAAAACCUUUCCAGAACUGGGGAGAAAGUGGCAGAAUUCCACUCUCAGAUCCAUCUCCUGGCUUCUGUCGCCCCACAGUGGAGACCCAGCAGAGCUGUGUGCAUCUUCCCUACCCUCUCUGGGAGGGUUAUCUGCAAGAAAGACUCAAGCAUCCUGCCGAGUUUGGUACUAAGUCCAAUGAAUGACCACAGGGAGCCUUGACAUGAGUUCUGAGGUAGCUCUGAAGCCAACACUCUGGAACUCUCACCAGGCAAGACCAGGCUGCCUGGACCCACUAUGAUUUUCUUGGGUUUUCAUCAAGGUUCAAGGCAGUGGGGGUAUAGGAGGGUUCUAGAAGGCCACUGGGGAGGCAUCUUAUGGGAGCCAACGCAGAUUUGGGCUGAAUUGGGACUUACAGUAUGAAAUCAGUUUAAAAACUUAAAGAGAAUCUACAGAGACUAAAUUGCCCUCUCUCUAGGAUUUCCUAAAGCAACUCCACUCCUGUUUUGGGCUUCAAAGUCCAAACUAGAUUUAUCCUGGGGCGCCUGGGUGGCUCAGUAGGUUGAGUAUCCGA